rnacentral:rRNA from 1 species
CAGCGUACGUUUAUAUUAAAAAUUAAGCCAUGCACGUGUAAGAAUAAGCUCGUUUGUAUAGUUAGUCUGCACAAAGCUCCGUAAUCAGAUGUAACCGUACCCAAGUGUUAGUUACUUGGAUAACCGUAGUAACUCUAGAGCUAAUACAUGUACGAUCCCAUGUUAAAGUGGGAGUCAUUUUUAGUUAGAGAUGCUUCACUGGGGUAACUCAGUUUUGGUGAGGCAUUUAAAUAGAACGACCGCAUGAGCUUGACUCGGCGGCGCUUGGGACGGGCAUCUGCUCUAUCAGCUUGUUGGUAGUGUAUUGGACUACCAAGGCUUUUACGGAUACAGGGAAUUGGCGUUCGAUUCUGGAGAGGGAGCCUGAGAAACAGCUCCCACUUCUAAGGAAGGCAGCAGGCGUGAAAAUUGCUCAAUCGCCAAAGGCGGAGGCAGUGACGAUAUAUAACAAUGCGGGGGCUACGGCUUUCGCAAUUGGAAUGGGUUAGUGGUAAAAUUCCUUUCGAGGAACUACUG